GGGCGAUGAUGAAGAAUGAAGUCAUGCACCACGCAGAUGAGGUUUAUCGUCUCAUGUGCUGACAUCAAUUCUUCUACCCAUUUUGAUUCCUGAGCCU